rnacentral:rRNA from 1 species
GGAGCGGCGGCUGCCACUGCAGCCAGGGCGGGGCGGUGGAUGGCAGCUGCAGCGGCCCGACGAGCACGGCAGAGGCCGCCAGAAGCGGCGGUUGCCACUGCAGCUAGGGCGGGGCGGUGGAUGGCAGCUGCAGCGGCUCGACGAGUGCGGCGGCUGCCACGGCGGCGCAGCCUGGUGCGGCCCGUAGGACCCGGCCAAGAACAGGCGGAUCUCCUGGACCGCCUGGUUUAGGUCCCGCGGCGCCCCGGACACUUCCUCCGAGGUGAGGACGGCGGGGGCAGGCGCGACGGAGGAUCCCGGCGCGGGCAGGAGCGGGGCGACGGUCGUGGUGGUCGGCGACGAGGUGACCGGCAGCGGGAGAGACGGGUUAGGCGGCGGUGAAGACAUGAUCGAACCGAAGUUAGCUGGUACCAAAUUUCUAUAAGGUUUUUGUAAUUAUGUUUAUGUUAGAAGGUUUAGAUGCCAUACUCUGCAUGGACUGUUACUAAAAGAAAUUUCCGUUGUUCUUAGGUACUAAUCAGGUUAAUGACGCCGCCGAAUAGCUGUCGUUGGCUAUAAUGUGAUUAGGCGCCAAGCCCUCCGAUGCCCAGCCGUGCGCUGUUGUCUCUGCCUGAAGAAGGAUUAUGGUCCUCCACCUCUCUGCUACUCGUAUUAAAAUUCCGGUGUGUUCUUUCUUUCUUUAUUUUCUGUCAACAAAAAGGUGAACCUGUUCUUAAUUUCCCAUAAUGAUUUCAAUGGAAAUUUGUGAGUGUAUUUCUAGCUGGAAUUGCAUGUAUAUCUUACAAAUUUACAUAGCAACAAAUUAAUAAGGAGAAUAGAAGCAUUUGCGUCCAUCUAACAUAUUUGUAUGGUAUUUUAAAAAAAGCUCAAGGUUAGAGAUAUGGCGCUGUAUGAGGCUAUCAUUAGGAUGGAAAAUAAAUUAAUGUUAAAAUAUUGCUUGAGUUUCCUUCAUUCUGUAAACCGCAAUACAAGCUAUGUUUGCGCAAUGAUUCUAUUCCAAUUUUUUUUAACAACUGGCAAUUAACAACACAUCAAAUGUUCUGUAUUGAAAUGGAUCAUUUUGUCAGGUUGGGUUUAGUAGGUCAUAAUGGUUUUAUUCCACGACAGGGUUAAUUUUGUUUAUAUUGUAACCAGUUCAGGUAAUACAGGGGAAAACAACAUUUUUUUGGUUCGUUUGGUAAGAAUAGUCGGGUAAUGAUCUUAAUGAAACACUGCAUUUGUUUGAUACAAGUCGCUGGUACAAUUUGCACCUGGCAAUAAAAUUGUAACACUAUCUAUUUUAUCAGGUAAAAACACCAGCAUGUUGUUUGAGGUGCAUGCAUCGGUUGUAGCGAAGAUGUGCAUAUGACAAUACAUUGCUAACCAUGGAGCACCGCAAGGAUUUAGAAUAUGUACCGCAACUUAGAGACUUGACACAUUGCCACUUGCUCCUACCACCAUGCAAGUGGGCGAUGCUUUAGUGUUGAACUAUUGAUUAAUCCCUCUUUUUUCUUUAAUCUAUGUGAUGGUGCCCCUUAUCAUAAAUAAUUGUUAUGUGGAUUCAAUAUAAAGGAUGUUUUAAACAUGUUUGAUAGUUAUAAAAACAAAUGUCAUUGACGAUACAUAUUGCUAUUAUGGAGAC